rnacentral:rRNA from 1 species
ACGGAAACUGCGAACGGCUCAUUAAAUCUAGUUGCGAUCUACUCGGCGUUCCGCGCCGCCGAUAACCGUAGUAAUUCUAGAGCUAAUACAUGACAAAAAACCUGGACUUUACAGAACAGGUGUACUUAUUAGACUUUAAAACCGAUUACAAUUUAUUGUAAAUUUAAAAUGAAUUAAAAUAAGUUUAUGAAUCGCAGAUCAUUUUGUGAUGAUAAGAAUGAAUUUCUGCCCUAUCAACUUUCGAUGGUAAUGUAGUGGAUUACCAUGGUGAUGACGGGUAACGGGGAAUUAGGGUUUGAUUCCGGAGAAAAGGCCUGAGAGACGGCCAUUACUUCUAAGGAAGGCAGCAGGCGCGUAAAUUACCCAAUCCUAAUACGGGGAGGUAGUGACAAGAAAUAUUGAUAUUGGACCCAAAGGGUACAAUGAUUGAAAUGAGAAC